rnacentral:lncRNA from 1 species
CAGUGCCAGAAGAGUUCAAUGCCUCUAUGUUUUCCAAAUUCAUGCAGGAAAACAACAACUCAUCUGUAACCUCUCCCCUCGAUUUCCUCUCACCAAUUCCCUCUACAUCAAUCCUUCCAUUACUACUCAACCCCAUUGGCUGUUUCUGCAAAUCAAUUGUUUUUUCCCUCCCCGAGCUAUCCCCAAGAUUCACUGCUCUCCCAGAAAUUCUCUGUCCACUUAUGGGCAUCAACUGAGGCGAAGACUGAAUCAUAUCCGAGAAUCCUAACGGAACAUCACUAUUAGAUCGACGAUGACCUUUCCGAGGAGGAAGACCGUCACUACCCCACAACGCACUUUCCCUUACAAAGUUAGACACGGCUUUUGGAACUUGACAAUUCACAUCUACUUCCUCCAUGGAUGUGUCCUUUUACUCAAACACAUUGGCUGUUUCUGCAAAUCAAUUGUUUUUUCCCUCCCCGAGAUAUCCCCAAGAUUCACUGGUCUCCCUGAAAUUCUCUGCCCGCUUAUGGGCAUCAACUGAGGCGAAGUCUGAAUC